rnacentral:rRNA from 1 species
GUGGGGAAUCUUGCGCAAUGGGCGAAAGCCUGACGCAGCCAUGCCGCGUGAAUGAUGAAGGUCUUAGGAUUGUAAAAUUCUUUCACCGGGGACGAUAAUGACGGUACCCGGAGAAGAAGCCCCGGCUAACUUCGUGCCAGCAGCCGCGGUAAUACGAAGGGGGCUAGCGUUGCUCGGAAUUACUGGGCGUAAAGGGCGCGUAGGCGGACAGUUUAGUCAGAGGUGAAAGCCCAGGGCUCAACCUUGGAAUUGCCUUUGAUACUGGCUGUCUUGAGUACGGGAGAGGUGAGGGGAACUCCGAGUGUAGAGGUGAAAUUCGUAGAUAUUCGGAAGAACACCAGUGGCGAAGGCGACUCACUGGCCCGUUACUGACGCUGAGGCGCGAAAGCGUGGGGAGCAAACAGGAUUAGAAACCCGGGUAGUCC